AACACCACCAUUGCCAUCACCACCAACACCAACACCACCAUCGCCAUCAUCACAUGCAUCUACUUCUCCACCAUCGUCGCCAUCUCCACCACAAUCAUCACCACCGCCACCCUCUCACCCAACAUUGCCUCCGAGACGAAAGGGUCAUCAUAAGCCAGGUCAGGGUCAUCAUAAGAAAGGUGGCAGCCAUCAUGAGAAAGGUCAGGGUGAUAAUGGCUCAGUGAAAGGCCAUCAUGGGCCAGGCCAAGGACAUCAUCUUAGUGGCGGUCACCACCGUAAUCCUCAUCCACCACCUCCGCCGCUAAUAACAAAAUACCAAUCAAUACAACACUAAAAUACCUCACCGCAUUUUCCGCUGACUCCACUCCGAUCAUCUCUCUCCAAGGAAAAAUCAUCAACUCUACCUUGGAAUGUUAACUCCUUUUCUUAAAUAGUGUUCAACGUUCUCUUUCAUUCAUGCUUAGUAUCAUAAUAUUUUUAUGUACAACUGAGGGAUGAAAAAGAGGAAAAGAAAGGGUUGCCAAUAUGUUAAUGAGAAGUACAAAUUUUUCCAA